UUGAAAAGAACUUUGAAGAGAGAGUUCAAGAGUACGUGAAACCGUUCAGGGGUAAACCUGAGAAACCCGAAAUUUCGUAUUGGGGUGAUUCAUCGUCAACGGUGUCGGCUUCGUCAUGGUUUCGCGAUGCUGGGACUCCGCGUUCGCGGUACGCUGCCAUGCGAUGCCCGUCAUCGACGACGUGCACUUCUCCCCUUGCAGGACGUCGCGACCCGUUGGGCGUCGGUCUACGGCCCGAGUCGGUAGCCUGUUCUCGGCGUUCGUUCGCCGGGGGCAGACCGUCGGUUGCCCGGCCGGCUGCUCGGCGGUACCCGUACGGUAUCUAGCCGCAUCGAAUUGCGUCCAGUCCGUCGCAAGCGAGACCAGCGUUCGCCGGUGGUCGGACCAUGCGCCGGCCCCGGAACUGGUCGGCUGUUCGCAGACGGUGUCCUCGGACGGGCUAUAAUUUUUACCGGUCGGCGACGCUAUUGCUUCGGGUACUUUCAGGACCCGUCUUGAAACACGGACCAAGGAGUCUAGCAUGUGCGCGAGUCAUUGGGAUUUUGAAACCUAAAGGCGCAAUGAAAGUGAAGGUCAACCACGCGUUGACCGAGGGAGGAUGGGUCGCGUCGCGGCGCGGUCCCGCACUCCCGGGGCGUCUCGUUCUCAUCGCGAGAAGAGGCGCACCCAGAGCGUACACGUUGGGACCCGAAAGAUGGUGAACUAUGCCUGGUCAGGACGAAGUCAGGGGAAACCCUGAUGGAGGUCCGUAGCGAUUCUGACGUGCAAAUCGAUCGUCGGAACUGGGUAUAGGGGCGAAAGACUAAUCGAACCAUCUAGUAGCUGGUUCCCUCCGAAGUUUCCCUCAGGAUAGCUGGCACUCGUGCGGAAAAAUUUUGAACGAGUCUCAUCCGGUAA
rnacentral:rRNA from 1 species